rnacentral:lncRNA from 1 species
AUGGGUCACUGUAAACAGAGCGUAAGGCCCGCGGGUGGAAGUGGAGACAGCCGACCUUUGGGGGAACCAAGCUCACCUCCCCACACCUCGGCCACAAAGGAGGCAGUGUCUCCCGAGACCCCCGUGCACUCAGCCUCUGCUCGAGACUCAUGGUUUGGUCUGCAUCUCCCCACUGUAGACCCUCCGGGGUCUCUUUCCUUUGACCAAGAAGCCUGGGCCUGGCUGCUCCUGCUUCAGCUGUGGGAAGGACAGCUCUGGGGGCUUUCUGUGCCUCCAGUGGGGUCCUUUCCCUCUGCCCCAAAUCCCAUCAGGUGGUGAGGGGGCCGGGAGUGACUGCUGGGGGUUCUCCUUGCGGCCACAGCAUCCAUGGGACAGAUGAGGUUCAGAAGUUCAGGUCCCAAAGGGCCAGGCACCCUGAGGCCAGCUUUAGCCAAGAGCUCACUGGCCCGGGCAGUUACAGAAAGGGUUUCAAAAUACAGCAGUUUAUAAAACAGUCCUGGUGAGCUGUGAAGGCAAAGAAGGGGAGGUGCAGAGCUGCUCCCAAGUUCACCUGCUUGUGCUAAGAAAAAAUAAAAUACAAACUGCUUCCCCA